GGUCAGAUGGAUCAUAAAAUUACUAGCUGCCCGCUAAAUACUGAAAAUCAAGUUGGCCAAAGAACUUAUGAAGGACAACAUAAGGGUGGUGGACAGAUUUCUAAAACCCAGGGAAGAGUUUAUACACUUACUCAAUAGAAUCCACAGGCUUCCAAUACACUGGUGACAUAUAUGAAAAAUUUCGAGGAUAAAAUUUCUUUUUAGGGGUGAAAAAUGUUAUAGUCCAAAAUCCAAGCCCAAUCCAGCAAGACCCAAGCCCAGGAAAAAAAAAUAGAGGAAACAAAUCGGGAAGAAGACUCUCGAUAGGAGUCUUCUUCUCCGGUG
rnacentral:lncRNA from 1 species